CCCAACGUUCGUUCACUGCAAGAGGGGAUGAGAGGACAGCCCACACGUCCAAGCCUUCCCCUUCCCCUUCCCCUUCCCUCCCUCCUCUGCUUGCUUCCUCAGCAGUCCACUCGGCUCCCCUUCUGCACCGCCACUGCUCCAUCGGGAACGAUUGAUGGAUGCACAUGUGGGUGCAUUGGUGGAUCGGGGCAGGCUUCCUGGCCUCGAGCUUCUCUGGCUGAGCGUUGCCUGCUUUCUCCUCUUCGAAGAGAGCUGAAAGGAAAAUGGUUAGCUGUUCAAUCUACCUGUCUGAGGCUGGGAAAAUAGAAAUGGAGCACAUAAACAGUAUUAAUUUCUCAUAUGAUGAUGACACCUGGACAUAUUUAUGGGGCAAUGCUACAUUCUUAGCUGCUGAAGUAUACAUGAGUCUUAUUGGGUACAUGUAAAUUCACCCCAUCUUUAAAUGGAUUUGGAAAAGAUAUUGUCAGAUGAAACAUAAAGCUUUUUUCUGGCUUCUUCUAAAAGAUAGGCUUAAUAUGAGGGCGCUUCUUCACAGAAAAAAAUAUGCAUCUACCAUCCUACACUUGUGACCUUUACAUUUUACAGAUUGAAGAAAGUAGAACGCAUAUGUUUCUACAUUGUAAUUUUGCCAGAAAUUGCUGGUCCUUCCUUGGAUUACGAAUAAACCUACAACUAAGUCCUUUUCAAACUCUAAAGCUAUUCAGGAAAAAAAAUUGGGUGUUCCGAUUGCUACGGAGAUCAUUACUCUAAUGUGCUAGAGCAUUUGGACUAUUUGAAAUGAUUGGAUUUUCAAUGAUGUGCAUCCAUCUA